GCUGUAUUCUUAGGAGUCUGUAGGACACUCAUGCUCAUCAAAGAAUAAGCUGUGGUGGUUUUUUUGUAAGUCAUCAGCAUCCUCACCAAGGGGAAGAACUUGUUCAUAUUGAUGGUUGCACCUCACUUGAGGUUCUUCUUAUAUGCUUGCUAACGUGCACCUUGAUCUUUCUUCAUCAAUCUUCAGCUCCGUGUCACAUCCAUAUUAAUUAUAUGUGGUGCCUUUUAUAUAUGGUGUACACAACAGAACUGUGAACUUGCAGAGAUUGUCAGACACAAAGUAUGAAACUACUGCAGAAGCAAGCAGAUGAAACAUCAUGAAAUAUUUCUGAACAAUACACAGCUCAAUUCUCUGCCCUUAUUUUGCUUUCUC